rnacentral:rRNA from 1 species
GAUGAACGCUAGCGGCAGGCUUAAUACAUGCAAGUCGUGGGGCAGCGCAGGUAGCAAUACUGGGCGGCGACCGGCAAACGGGUGCGGAACACGUACACAACCUUCCGGGAAGUGGGGAAUAGCCCAGAGAAAUUUGGAUUAAUACCCCGUAACAUAACGAUGUGGCAUCACAUUGUUAUUAUAGCUUCGGCGCUUCGUGAUGGGUGUGCGGCUGAUUAGAUAGUUGGCGGGGUAACGGCCCACCAAGUCUACGAUCAGUAGCUGAUGUGAGAGCAUGAUCAGCCACACGGGCACUGAGACACGGGCCCGACUCCUACGGGAGGCAGCAGUAAGGAAUAUUGGUCAAUGGACGCAAGUCUGAACCAGCCAUGCCGCGUGAAGGAUUAAGGUCCUCUGGAUUGUAAACUUCUUUUAUCUGGGACGAAAAAAGGCGAUUCUUCGUCACUUGACGGUACCAGAUGAAUAAGCACCGGCUAACUCCGUGCCAGCCGCCGCAGUAAUAC